rnacentral:rRNA from 1 species
AGUGAACGCUGGCGGUAGGCCUAACACAUGCAAGUCGAACGGCAGCACAGUAAGAGCUUGCUCUUACGGGUGGCGAGUGGCGGACGGGUGAGGAAUACAUCGGAAUCUCCUUUUUCGUGGGGGAUAACGUAGGGAAACUUACGCUAAUACCGCAUACGACCUACGGGUGAAAGCAGGGGAUCUUCGGACCUUGCGCGAUUGAGUGAGCCGAUGUCGGAUUAGCUAGUUGGCGGGGUAAAGGCCCACCAAGGCGACGAUCCGUAGCUGGUCUGAGAGGAUGAUCAGCCACACUGGAACUGAGACACGGUCCAGACUCCUACGGGAGGCAGCAGUGGGGAAUAUUGGACAAUGGGCGCAAGCCUGAUCCAGCCAUACCGCGUGGGUGAAGAAGGCCUUCGGGUUGUAAAGCCCUUUUGUUGGGAAAGAAAAGCAGCAGGUUAAUACCCCGCUGUUCUGACGGUACCCAAAGAAUAAGCACCGGCUAACUUCGUG